rnacentral:rRNA from 1 species
GUAGGUGGCAAGCGUUAUCCGGAAUUACUGGGGCGUAAAGGGGCACGCAGGCGGCCAUGAAAGUCUGACGUGAAAGCUCCUGGGCUUAACUGGGGAGAGGUCGUUGGAAACUGGAUGGCUUGAGGCAAUGAGAGGGGUGCGGAAUUCCCGGUGUAGUGGUGGAAUGCGUAGAUAUCGGGAGGAACACCAGUGGCGAAGGCGGCAUCCUAGCAUUGACCUGACGCUCAUGUGCGAAAGCGUGGGGAGCAAACGGGAUUAGAUACCCCGGUAGUCCACGCUGUAAACGAUGAGCACUAGGUGUGGGUAGUGUUAAAGCUAUCUGUGCCGAAGCAAACGCGAUAGGUGCUCCGCCUGGGGAGUACGGCCGCAAAGGCUA